GGGAUUUGUGAAAAGUUAUAUAUUAUCGAGUCGAGUUCGAGUCGGGCUUUAGCAUUACCCACACCUGCCGUGAUUCUGUUGCGGUUCGAGUACAUGAGGGGUGGAGUAAAUUGCGACCCCUAUCCUUAGGAAUUCCUUUUGGGGGAGUUCCAAGGUUCAAAUCCUGGUGGUGGCAUACUACCACAGUAUCGCUUAGGAAGAAUUAAUGAACUAGCUCACAAUAGUAUGGACUCAUUCAUGUGCAACGGUAACUUGUCUUUUUAACCUUGUUGAGGAGACAUGGGAGGCUUUAUAUGAUAGGCACUCUGCUCAGGAGGUUGUGUAAGUAAAUGAAUCUUUUAAGGUAAGAUAAGGUUCCAAAAACAUGAAGAAUGUUACAUUUACCAAAAGAUAUAUGUUUAAGAAGUUGAAUGUGUGUUGACCU
rnacentral:lncRNA from 1 species